rnacentral:antisense_RNA from 1 species
AACUGACAUAAGCUGACACUCUGCUGUAUAUCUUGGCACAAUAUUGCUUUCAUCUCUGGAGUCGGGUGUCUUACAAAUUUAACAGUGUCCGUUGGGACUGUCCAAAGAUAUUUACAGUAAUGCUGAGGUCAAGCAAUGGCAGUGGAACCGUACAGGAUGUGGGGGCUGGGCCAAAGCUGUGGGACUCCGGAUUUAUUUUGUGAGUUGGAGAAUUGUCUAGUCAUCAGACCAACAGAGGAGCAAACCUCUAACAGCAUCUCCCUGCUUCUUCCCACCCUCUCAACAGGAGGCAUUGGAGAAGGUUUAUCUAAUGACUGACAUCUGACGCAUAAGGUGCAGGCACACUUACUCAGGGUGCGAAUAUUUACUGAGUGUCUCUGUGGGGCCAUACACUACUCUAGGCACUGGACAUACACCAGUAAAGAGAAGCUGUCCUCAUCUGUCUUAUUUUCUGGUCUUAAAUCUAAAGCCAAGAGGCAUUUAGCAGCACAAAUCCUCUUCAGCAGUCAACACUCCCAAAGUUUCAGGCACUGAGGAAAAUAAAAACAAAACUGUGGCCCUUUCCCAAGAAGCGCACAGUGUCCACAAGAAUGUGAAAGCCAUCUGGAAACUGAUAAACUGCAAAAAGCUCAGCCAUCUUCUGUUGGCAAAAUAAAAGAAUGGAUGUCCUUGGAAGAACGAUGUCCUUGGAAAGUCAUCAAAUAAAAA